rnacentral:rRNA from 1 species
AGCAGCCGCGGUAAUUCCAGCUCCAAUAGCGUAUAUUAAAGUUGUUGCAGUUAAAAAGCUCGUAGUUGAAUUUUGGAUUCUGCCAGUUGGUCCAUCUUUUGAUGAGUACUGAUUGUGUGGGGUCUAUCCGCCUGGUGAUACGUAAUGUACUUUAUUGUAUGUUGCGGGUAGUCAGGACCUUUACCUUGAAAAAUUAGAGUGUUUAAAGCAGGCUUAUGCCGGAAUACAUUAGCAUGGGAUAAUAGAAUAGGACGAUGUUGUUUUAUUUUGUUGGUUUCUAGGACAACCGUAAUGAUUAAUAGGGAUAGUUGGGGGCAUUAGUAUUCAAUUGUCAGAGGUGAAAUUCUUGGAUUUAUUGAAGACUAACUACUGCGAAAGCAUUUGCCAAGGAUGUUUUCAUUAAUCAAGAACGAAAGUUAGGGGAUCGAAGACGAUCAGAUACCGUCGUAGUCUUAACCAUAAACUAUGCCGACUAGGGAUCGGGCGAUGUUGUUUCAAUGACUCGCUCGGCACCUU